rnacentral:misc_RNA from 1 species
CUGUGAAGUGAUUUUUUAAAGUUGAUGGAUCAUAAGAUAUGACAAGACUAACAAAGAAGUUGUCGGCCAAUAAGUGGAAAUAGAUUAGUUUGGAUAAAUGCUGGACAUAUUGCUAGUACCUAGUAUAUAAAAAUUUGGAAAGUUAUAAAGAGUUGGGAUUGAUGAAUGUAUCAAGAGUUUCAUUUAUAUAUUCUGGUUUUACGAGACCUGCACAUCCAGACCAGCAGAGUUUCCUGUUGUGGUUGGGUUGGGUGGUUGGAGGGCUGUUCCAGUUGUAAAAUGGCAUCUGCUAUUUACUGAUUAUAGUACAUGUAUAGUUGAAUACUAGAACCAUUUUUCGGGAAUUUCCCUCCCCUAGAAAGAAAAUUCAUGGAUGUAGAAAUAAUUCAUUGAUUUUAUGCUGCUUGACGCUUAUUUAUUUAUUUAUUUGUUUUUGUUGUGGGGUGCAGGAUCUACAAUGUCUCUGUAAUGAAUUAUGAAUUGUCUUAUUUCCAACUUUUUCUUUGUAUACUUUCUCUAGCUAUUAUCUCGCUAAUUGAUAGAGAAUUAAGAGGCAGGUCUCUCAAAUAUUGUGAGUUUAGCUUACAGAAAGAUGUUUGCUGUAAUAUUGCAGUUGACAAUAAUCAGCUCUAUCCAUCUGCUCCUCC